rnacentral:rRNA from 1 species
AAUAGAUACCCGGGUAGUCCAUGCCGUAAACGAUGUCUACUAGCCGUUGGGGCCUUUGAGGCUUUAGUGGCGCAGCUAACGCGAUAAGUAGACCGCCUGGGGAGUACGGUCGCAAGACUAAAACUCAAAUGAAUUGACGGGGGCCCGCACAAGCGGUGGAGCAUGUGGUUUAAUUCGAUGCAACGCGAAGAACCUUACCUGGUCUUGACAUAGUAAGAACUUUCCAGAGAUGGAUUGGUGCCUUCGGGAACUUACAUACAGGUGCUGCAUGGCUGUCGUCAGCUCGUGUCGUGAGAUGUUGGGUUAAGUCCCGCAACGAGCGCAACCCUUUUCCUUAUUUGCCAGCGGGUUAAGCCGGGAACUUUAAGGAUACUGCCAGUGACAAACUGGAGGAAGGCGGGGACGACGUCAAGUCAUCAUGGCCCUUACGACCCAGGGCUACACACGUGCUACAAUGGUCGGUACAAAGGGUUGCUACCUAGCGAUAGGAUGCUAAUCUCAAAAAGCCGAUCGUAGUCCGGAUUGGAGUCUGCAACUCGACUCC